GAAGCAUGGUCAUGGCAAUACCUGGAGUCUCCACUGCAAGACCAGAGUGAUGGAGGCAGCAGAGCUCCUCAGCAGACCAGGAGUCUCCAGAGGCACUGCAGAAUGUCUAAGAAGCAACCUCAUUGUAUUCCCAAGACCUGGGAAUCCAGGUCUCGCAGAUAUGAUGAUACAAUCUAUAGCCAGUACAUCUCUUCAUGUGUAGUUUUCAAUGAAUACUAGGAUAAGCAACUAUCCCAGUCUUCCCAGGAUUGAGGGGCUUCUCCAGAUGCUGCACUUCCAGUGCUAAAAAUGAGAAACUGAAAUGAAUUAGUCACCCAAGGAAUGCUGACCCUGUGCUAUAUGAUCACAUUUACUCUUUAAAGCAAUGCUUUGAGACAUGAAAGCCAGAUAGGGAAGAAUUUGCAGCCUCAUACUGAUUGGCCAGUUGAGGAGUCAACUCACCUCUCUUACAGAAAAAAGAAUAUUACAUUUAGGAAUACAGAAUAUACUAGCUCUCUACUUACCAAGAGAUUUCUUUCUCUACUGACAGCUUUUUGUUGACGUGAUUACUGUGCAGGUUCUGACAGUCGAUUCUUUCCACCUAGCUCACUGCUGAAGCUAUAAUGAUUUCCAUUUUGCAAAAAGAGGAUGAUUACUUAUUAUCUGUGACCAUUUCUCAAUUCCAGAACAAUUGAGCUGCAUAGUCCCUGCGAUCUUAUAAAGGCAUUUGGCCUGGAAGAUGCUCUGCAGCCAUGUGCCAAGAACAAUGGCUACAGGGACAAUGUUUCAUUAACCCCAAAGCAGCAACCUGAACCUCUCCAUUCAGAAUUAGCUCGACUUGAGUCACAGGAUGAAGCUUACCAAAAGGAAUUUCCAUGUCCAAGGAAGGAACCAAGAUCACUGAGAGGUUAUAGUAUGAAAAGUGAAGAGAAAAAACCUAUUCUAAACAUUUUAUUAAUUGUCAAUAAUUAUUUUAAAACACUUAAUAUAGUCUCCUACCUGGUCCACUGGCAUCAAGCUGCCAAAUUUACACAGUCACUUUGGGAAGCCAGCUGGCAGGCAAACGUGGAAAGUGCUGGCUCCUAGCGUAGUGAGAAGACCAACAGAUAGAUGGUAAUUUUCUUCUUUGUUUUAUUUUUCUUUUUCUUCUCUCCCUCUUUUUCUUCCAUCUUGCCUUUCCCUCCCAUUGCCCACUUUCUUUUUUUGGCUAUUGAAGAUUUAUUGCCUUUCAGUACUUACAGAUGAUGUUUUCAUAGGCUCUAAUGAGGUCCCAGCAGUUUUUAACAAUAACAGGACAUUACUGUUCCUAAGAUAUAUUAUGUGUUUUCCCUCAUCUUUCUCCCUUGAAUGAAAUGCUUAGAAGUAGGCUAACCCCCAGUUCCCUUCCCUUUACUAUGAUAAAUUGCUCCAUUACUUAAUAGGGCUAAAUACUUUGCUG
rnacentral:lncRNA from 1 species